AGAUUUUACACACAAAGUGUUACCGUAACUUCUUACUACACAGCAGCGCCACCAUUGGCAAUAUGUCAGUUGCAUACAAAAAUUCACAGCAUCGCACGUCAUCUUGUUGCGCUCACCAAUCUUAUUUAAUUUUAUAACUAUUCUUUAUACUUGCAUUUGAAUUAUUAAAUUAGUUAAUAUUAAUCAGUGCAUUUAUUCAUUUCAAACAGUCAAACACAGUGCAUUCAUUCAUUCAAUCUUUCAACAUUCACGCAUUCAGACUUCAAUCGCACCUCAUCGAUCAACCAUACACACAAGGAGAAAUCUGGUCACUUCGCUUUUCCAUACAUUUCAGUUUUUUCAUAUGGAUUUUUAGGUUAAAAUUCUGCGUAAAUAUAAGAUGACCUAAUAUUUCAUACAAAUCAACAAAAGGUAAAUCAUCACAACACAAAGUCUUAAAUUCCCGGAAAAGUUUUAACUUCAAAUAAAGAGUUGAAAUACUUACAA